rnacentral:rRNA from 1 species
UACGAAGGGGGCUAGCGUUGUUCGGAAUCACUGGGCGUAAAGCGCACGCAGGCGGAUUGAUAAGUCAGGGGUGAAAUCCCGGAGCUCAACUUCGGAAUUGCCUUUGAUACUGUCUGUCUUGAGUCCGGGAGAGGUGAGUGGAAUUCCUAGUGUAGAGGUGAAAAUUCGUAGAUAUUAGGAAGAACACCAAUGGCGAAGGCAGCUCGCUGGGACGGUACUGACGCUGAGACGCGAAAGCGUGGGGAGCAACAGGG